rnacentral:lncRNA from 1 species
AGAACACUUUGGAAAAUGCCCAUAUGAAGAUACUACUAAAGAGCAGUCAGCCAGGAACAGAAGAUGACUUAAGGCAGGAGAACUCGUGACCCACCAGGAAUGCUACCUUACUUCCAGCUGUGGAGCUGUGACCCCUCAGGAGCUGAACCAUUUAAGAAGUGCCCAGCUAUCACAGAAUCUGUCAUCUGAAUGCUGCACCCUGUCUUCAGAAGAGCUCUUUCAUUCACAAAGACACUAGCAGGGAGUCCAAGUGCCAUCUAUUUCUCUCUGUUAUCUCUUACAUGGCGGUUCCAUCUCUUCCAGUUAAUAAGGUUAAAACAGAGACUGACAGUAAAGUAACACUGAAUUAUUAAAAGUGAAACUUCAGUUAUUGUUAUUCCAGAGCUUCUGCUAAAUGUGCCAUCUUCUCCUCUAGACUUCAUUUCAGGGGAAAGACUCGACAUGCUUGGAGAAUAGCAUCACUGCACUCCCACUGCACAUCCCUGUCCAAACCUUCUCAUCCAACAAAAUGAAUACAAAUACUCAUGAAAGAGGCCAUAAUAAUUUCGAUAAAGAAAUAGAGAAUUAGCAGUAAAUGACAGUCAGCGAUGCACAGCACAGGGAGUGCUAAUAUAUUUUAUUAAAAAUAUUAUUAGCACGCUACUUUAGGGUUAAAAGGUGUCUCUCAGUAGAUUUCAAAUGCUCCUACCCCUCUCGGAUUUCCUUGAGCUCAAAACUUCCCAUAUCUCACUCAUUUCCCCUCUCAGUAGUUUUCCUGCCUGUUCGUACUUCCUGCAAGAAGGUCCUCAGGGCUCCCCUUCCAACAUGGCCAUUUCUGUCUGUGGCAGGUUUUCAGAA